UGGUGUAUCCAUACGAUGGAAUAUUAAUGAGCUGAAAAGAGAGUGACAUACUGAUGCAUGAAGUGCGAACCCUGAUAACUUUAUGCUGGGAAGCUGGUCACGAAAGGUCACGUAGUAUAUGAUCCAUCUGUGUGAAAUACAAAUAGGUCUGCCGGGCCUUGAUUGCAAUUCCGCUUGAUGUAUCUUUGAAGAGAGAUGAAGGAAAAAAGUUGAGCAUGCAGUUGUUCCAUGUGAGAAAAGUGGAAAUCUGCGGGUUACCCAGUCAAGAUCAUGUGACAAAGAUGAAGAUGGGGUGGAACUGGAUCCUGAUGCUG